GAUGAACGCUGGCGGCGUGCCUAAUACAUGCAAGUCGAGCGAACAGACGAGGAGCUUGCUCCUCUGACGUUAGCGGCGGACGGGUGAGUAACACGUGGAUAACCUACCUAUAAGACUGGGAUAACUUCGGGACACCGGAGCUAAUACCGGAUAAUAUAUUGAACCGCAGGGUUCAAUAGUGAAAGACGGUUUUGCUGUCACUUAUAGAUGGAUCCGCGCCGCAUUAGCUAGUUGGUAAGGUAACGGCUUACAAAGGCAACGAUGCGUAGCCGACCUGAGAGGGUGAUCGGCCACACUGGAACUGAGACACGGGCCAGACUCCUACGGGAGGCAGCAGCAGGGAAUCUUCCGCAAUGGGCGAAAGCCUGACGGAGCAACGCGGCGUGAGUGAUGAAGGUCUUCGGAUCGUAAGACUCUGUUAUUAGGGAAGAACAAAUGUGUAAGUAACUAUGCACGUCUUGACGGUACCUAAUCAGAAAGCCACGGCUAACUACGUG
rnacentral:rRNA from 1 species